rnacentral:rRNA from 1 species
UACGAAGGUGGCAAGCGUUGUUCGGAUUUACUGGGCGUACAGGGAGCGUAGGCGGUUGGAUAAGCCCUCCGUGAAAUCUCCAGGCUUAACCUGGAAAGUGCAGAGGGGACUGUUCAGCUAGAGGAUGGGAGAGGAGCGCGGAAUUCCCGGUGUAGCGGUGAAAUGCGUAGAUAUCUGGAGGAACACCGGUGGCGAAGGCGGCAUCCUGGACCGACACUGACACUGAGGAGCGAAAGCCAGGGGAGCAAACGGG